UACGUAGGGGGCAAGCGUUGUCCGGAAUUAUUGGGCGUAAAGAGCGUGUAGGCGGUCCGGUAAGUCAGCUGUGAAAGUCAAGGGCUCAACCCUUGAAAGCCGGUUGAUACUGUCGGGCUAGAGUCCGGAAGAGGCGAGUGGAAUUCCCGGUGUAGCGGUGAAAUGCGCAGAUAUCGGGAGGAACACCAAUGGCGAAGGCAGGUCUCUGGGCCGCAACUGACGCUGAGGAGCGAAGGUCAGGGGAGCAAACGGG
rnacentral:rRNA from 1 species